rnacentral:rRNA from 1 species
GAGAGCAAUCUUUCAACAANAAGGUCACACCCGUUCCCAUCCCGAACACGGUAGUUAAGCUUCUCUGCGCCAAUGGUAGUUGGGGGCUUCCCCCUGCGAGAGUAGGUCGCUGCCGGGC